ACUUACACGGUUAAAGGGAAGUUGGGAUAGUGUCUCUCUCACUUGGGUUUACCUCAGGGUUCGGGAAGGCCUCCUAUCCUUAAAUUCUAGAGCAAAGUGUGGG
rnacentral:sRNA from 1 species